rnacentral:rRNA from 1 species
UAGGGAAUAUUGGGCAAUGGAGGCAACUCUGACCCAGCCAUGCCGCGUGAAGGAAUACAGCCCUAUGGGUUUUAAACUUCUUUUAUUAUAGAGUAACCGUGAGGACGUGUCCUCACCUGCAAGUAUAUAAUGAAUAAGCAUCGGCUAACUCCGUGCCAGCAGCCGCGGUAAUACGGAGGAUGCAAGCGUUAUCCGGAUUUAUUGGGUUUAAAGGGUGCGCAGGCUGAUCGAUAAGUCAGGGGUGAAACUUUACAGCUUAACUGUAAACGUGCCUUUGAUACUGUCGGACUAGAGUUUAAGAGACGUAACCGGAAUGUGAUGUGUAGCGGUGAAAUGCUUAGAUAUGUCACAGAACGCCGAUCGUGAAGACAGGUUACGAACUUAAUACUGACGCUCAUGCACGAAAGCGUGGGGAUCAAACA